CAGUAGCCGCGGUAAUACGUAGGGUGCGAGCGUUAAUCGGAAUUACUGGGCGUAAAGCGUGCGCAGGCGGUUGUGUAAGACAGGUGUGAAAUCCCCGGGCUUAACCUGGGAACUGCGCUUGUGACUGCACAGCUAGAGUAUGGCAGAGGGGGGUGGAAUUCCACGUGUAGCAGUGAAAUGCGUAGAGAUGUGGAGGAACACCGAUGGCGAAGGCAGCCCCCUGGGCCAAUACUGACGCUCAUGCACGAAAGCGUGGGGAGCAAACAGGAUUAGAUACCCGCGUAGUCCCUGUCUCUUAUAU
rnacentral:rRNA from 1 species